UGGGGAAUUUUGGACAAUGGGCGAAAGCCUGAUCCAGCAAUGCCGCGUGUGUGAAGAAGGCCUUCGGGUUGUAAAGCACUUUUGUCCGGAAAGAAAUCCUUGGCUCUAAUACAGUCGGGGGAUGACGGUACCGGAAGAAUAAGCACCGGCUAACUACGUGCCAGCAGCCGCGGUAAUACGUAGGGUGCAAGCGUUAAUCGGAAUUACUGGGCGUAAAGCGUGCGCAGGCGGUUUGCUAAGACCGAUGUGAAAUCCCCGGGCUCAACCUGGGAACUGCAUUGGUGACUGGCAGGCUAGAGUAUGGCAGAGGGGGGUAGAAUUCCACGUGUAGCAGUGAAAUGCGUAGAGAUGUGGAGGAAUACCGAUGGCGAAGGCAGCCCCCUGGGCCAAUACUGACGCUCAUGCACGAAAGCGUGGGGAGCAAACAGGAUUAGAUACCCUGGUAGUCCACGCCCUAAACGAUGUCAACUAGUUGUUGGGGACUUCAUUUCCUUAGUAACGUAGCUAACGCGUGAAGUUGACCGCCUGGGGAGUACGGUCGCAAGAUUAAAACUUAAAUG
rnacentral:rRNA from 1 species